rnacentral:other from 1 species
UAUCUGCUGCGUUGUUCGUUAGUGUUAUGAAGUUUUAACCUUUAAUUAGUAUUAGGGAGUCCAAAAUCAAAACUGGAACAACAAGCCUUCCUCGAAAGGACGUUGGGAUGGUUUUUGCGGGCACCCACCUGUUGGAGCAGGUUUAAAACUCCAUUAGACGGCGGCAAACGCGGCUGCAUU